rnacentral:rRNA from 1 species
GUUAGGAAUAUUGGACAAUGGGCGCAAGCCUGAUCCAGCCAUGCCGCGUGAGUGAUGAAGGCCUUCGGGUUGUAAAGCUCUUUAGCCGAUGAUUAUAAUGACUGUAGUCGGAAAAUAAGCCCCGGCUAACUUCGUGCCAGCAGCCGCGGUAAUACGAAGGGGGCGAGCGUUAUUCGGAAUCACUGGGCGUAAAGCGUGCGUAGGCGGCUUUGCAAGUUGGGAGUGAAAGCCCAGGGCUCAACCCUGGAAUUGCUCUCAAAACUGCAAGGCUCGAAUUCGGGAGAGGAUAGCGGAAUUGUCAGUGUAGCAGUGAAAUGCGUAGAUAUUGACAGAAACACCAGUGGCGUAAGCGGCUAUCUGGACCGAUAUUGACGCUGAGGCACGAAAGCGUGGGGAUCAAACAGGAUUAGAUACCCUUGUAGUCC